CUUUUAUUAAAUACACAAAUAUAUGUGUCAAUACUUACACAUUAUUAUAUUAAUACGAAACACUGUAAAUUCAUAAUUUUUAUCGAUUCCACUCUGUUAAUGAUUACAAUACAGAAAGCUGUCCAGUCGACUCCACACUGUUAAUGAACACAAUACAGAAGGUUGUCCAGUCGACUCCACACUGUUAAUGAAUACAAUACAGAUGGUUGUCCAGUCGACUCCACACUGUUAAUGAAUACAAUACAGAAGGUUGUCCAGUCGACUCCACACUGUUAAUGAAUACAAUACAGAUGGUUGUCCAGUCGACGCCACACUCAUAAUGAAUACAAUACAGAUGGUUGUACAGUCGACUCCACACUGUUAAUGAAUACAAUACAGAUGGUUGUACAGUCGACUCCA
ensembl:lncRNA